UAAGACUGUUGCAGAUUGUUUAUGUAUGUUUGUCUGUUUUGGUUUGCAUUGUUGGUGAUUUAUUUGGUUUAAUGGUAUUUUGUAAUGUUUUGGGAUUUUUUUUGUUUAAUACGUACCUCACGGGCUGCCGUAGAGAAAGAGGGCAGGGCCUAUAAAACUGGGGAAUUGCAGUGAACCAAAUGAACUGUCAAACGUUGGACUAAGAAAUGGCGUUCCCCAGUAAAGGCAGCGAGUUUUCACGGUGAUGGUGAUGAUGAUGGUGAUGAUGAUGGAGGUUUUGAAGUCAAGUGACCUGACGAUGAUCCAGCAAAAUCAUCAAAGGAGAAAUAAAGCCAAUAUCACCUGUC